rnacentral:rRNA from 1 species
AUGAACGCUAGCUACAGGCUUAACACAUGCAAGUCGAGGGGCAGCAUUUUAGUUUGCUUGCAAACUGAAGAUGGCGACCGGCGCACGGGUGAGUAACACGUAUCCAACCUGCCGAUAACUCGGGGAUAGCCUUUCGAAAGAAAGAUUAAUAUCCGAUAGUAUAUUAAAACCGCAUGGUUUUACUAUUAAAGAAUUUCGGUUAUCGAUGGGGAUGCGUUCCAUUAGUUUGUUGGCGGGGUAACGGCCCACCAAGACUACGAUGGAUAGGGGUUCUGAGAGGAAGGUCCCCCACAUUGGAACUGAGACACGGUCCAAACUCCUACGGGAGGCAGCAGUGAGGAAUAUUGGUCAAUGGACGAGAGUCUGAACCAGCCAAGUAGCGUGAAGGAUGACUGCCCUAUGGGUUGUAAACUUCUUUUAUAUGGGAAUAAAGUAUUCCACGUGUGGGAUUUUGUAUGUACCAUAUGAAUAAGGAUCGGCUAACUCCGUGCCAGCAGCCGCGGUAAUACGGAGGAUCCGAGCGUUAUCCGGAUUUAUUGGGUUUAAAGGGAGCGUAGGUGGAUUGUUAAGUCAGUUGUGAAAGUUUGCGGCUCAACCGUAAAAUUGCAGUUGAAACUGGCAGUCUUGAGUACAGUAGAGGUGGGCGGAAUUCGUGGUGUAGCGGUGAAAUGCUUAGAUAUCACGAAGAACUCCGAUUGCGAAGGCAGCUCACUAGACUGCAACUGACACUGAUGCUCGAAAGUGUGGGUAUCAAACAGGAUUAGAUACCCUGGUAGUCCACGCCGUAAACGAUGAAUACUAGGUGUUGGGGAGCGAAGCUUCUCGGUGCCGCAGUUAACGCAAUAAGUAUUCCACCUGGGGAGUACGCCGGCAACGGUGAAACUCAAAGGAAUUGACGGGGGCCCGCACAAGCGGCGGAACAUGUGGUUUAAUUCGAUGAUACGCGAGGAACCUUACCCGGGCUUAAAUUGCAAAUGAAUAAUCUGGAAACAGGUUAGCCGCAAGGCAUUUGUGAAGGUGCUGCAUGGUUGUCGUCAGCUCGUGCCGUGAGGUGUCGGCUUAAGUGCCAUAACGAGCGCAACCCUUAUCUUUAGUUACUAACAGGUCAUGCUGAGGACUCUAGAGAGACUGCCGUCGUAAGAUGUGAGGAAGGUGGGGAUGACGUCAAAUCAGCACGGCCCUUACGUCCGGGGCUACACACGUGUUACAAUGGGGGGUACAGAAGGCAGCUACCUGGCGACAGGAUGCUAAUCCCAAAAACCUCUCUCAGUUCGGAUCGAAGUCUGCAACCCGACUUCGUGAAGCUGGAUUCGCUAGUAAUCGCGCAUCAGCCAUGGCGCGGUGAAUACGUUCCCGGGCCUUGUACACACCGCCCGUCAAGCCAUGAAAGCCGGGGGUACCUGAAGUACGUAACCGCAAGGAGCGUCCUAGGGUAAAACUGGUAAUUGGGGCU